ACUGUUCACUUUGACUAUUGGAACAUCUGCAAACAAAGAUUAAAGGAAUGAGAGUCUGUAGCAGACAAAAUAGGUGAACCAAAGGAAACACUAAAGGGAGUGAAUCAGCAAGAAAGGUACUGGCUGAAAAGCUCAAUAGUGAUGGAAAACAAAGGGAGAACAAAUGCAACAUAAAGGCAUAAGUGGAAAGACCAUGGCAUAGAAAAUAAGUGGUCAAGGCAGCGUCUUCUCCCUUCAAAAGACCCAACUGCUGAUGAGGUAGAAAUCGAAUGGUGUGGUCUCCUAG